rnacentral:misc_RNA from 1 species
UUUUCCGCUUUGAAGUUGAGGUACCCUCUCGCUACUCUGGUUGUACUAGUGGAGCGGGCUUCAGAGCAAUUGUCAAGUCGUGAGGCUUCGUUUUUCAUAUACUUAGCGAAAAUGAACGCCAUGUACUCUGCUGAUCAGAUUAACGUCCCUCCGGAGCUGGGGACGAUCAUGAAGCAGUACACAAAGGCUGUGAUGCGCGACAAACCGACUGAUCUGUACAAAUAUAGUGCUAACUUUUUCGCCAUCUUGAGCGGCUACGCGGCACCUUUCGACUCGGAAGGGCAGCUGAUGGAGAAUGGAACGCAAGAGGCAUCGUCGCGUUCGGCGGACCCGAUUUCCUUCGGAUCGGAAAAGGACGAAAAAGCGGGGUCACAGGACCCAAUCGACAUUCUCCUUCGCAGAUACGACCGCACUGGAACAGGCUAUAUGGACCCGGCAGAGCUUCCGCGCCUUCUAGCGGAGCUCAGGACAAAUUUGUCUGUGGACGAAAAGGAUGUGAUCUCCGCAGAGGAUAUUCUAGCAGUUCUUCCGAGUGCACAGAAUCAGAUCGACCUGCUGGAGCUCCGCAGCCUGCUGCUGGAGGGUAUGGGUGAUUAGCGCUUCUGCGUUGAAGGUUUUCUUCGUGGUGGUGUUUAUUUUUUGUUGUUGGUAUGUGUUUGUGUGAGGGAUGUAUAGCACGGCUGGCUUCGCCGUGGUUGGGUGGCAGUGUUGCCGUUUGCACGAGGCGUAUUUGCUUCUUUUAGCCAUGUACUGUAGCGUCGGUUGAAGCAACGAAAUGCGCAUUAAAAAUUGGUGUCGUGUAGCACACCAGCCUAGUUGCUGCACGUCUGUUCGCACGGACAAAGUUCUGGGAGGCAAAAAAAAGAGACCUCUCUCGCACACCUGUCUCCCCAAUACAAAGCAAUCACCUCUGGUUUUCCGUUUGCCGCACUGCAAGCGUCUUCACGCGUUUACCGUACGUGACAUGAUCAUGGUUUAUCAACUCUCUUUGCUUUUCUUUUUCCGUCUGGUUUCUUUCUGGUUCGCGUGUGUCCUUUAUGGCGUGCGCGUACACGCAUAUGUGGUGGCCAG